UACGAAGGGGGCUAGCGUUGCUCGGAAUUACUGGGCGUAAAGCGCACGUAGGCGGAUUGUUAAGUCGGGGGUGAAAUCCUGGAGCUCAACUCCAGAACUGCCUUCGAUACUGGCGAUCUCAAGUUCGGGAGAGGUGAGUGGAACUGCGAGUGUAGAGGUGAAAUUCGUAGAUAUUCGCAAGAACACCAGUGGCGAAGGCGGCUCACUGGCCCGAUACUGACGCUGAGGUGCGAAAGCGUGGGGAGCAAACAGG
rnacentral:rRNA from 1 species